rnacentral:rRNA from 1 species
GUGAUAGCUGGUUCUCCCCGAAAUGCAUUUAGGUGCAGCGUCGUGUGUUUCCUCCUGGAGGUAGAGCUACUGGUUGGUUUAGCGGGACUAUCAUCUUAGCGACAUCAGCCAAACUCCGAAUGCCAGGUUAGGUUAGAGCAUGGCAGUGAGACUGCGGGGGAUAAGCUUCGUAGUCGAGAGGGAAACAGCCCAGAACACCGACUAA